CCUGGUUCCAAGCCAAGGCCUAGAUCCUCUGAGUUCAGAAGACCUGGUGCAGGUCCCCAUUUGCCUUUUGGCCCAGCUCUGGAUUAAAACGUCCUUUCUGACAUGCCUAGUGCUUUGUGCUCCUCAGCCUCAGGAGUACAACGAAACUGCUCAACUGGAAUCUAUAGAAGAUGGACAAUCAGGUUUUUCCGGGUUUGGGAAAUGUGCUUCCAAUUCACUCCUGUGGCGCUGUCAUGAAGUUUUGUUUCCCACUGUGGACUGCUCCAGAGAGCUGCUCGCAACUGGGCAGCUGGCUUCCCCAAGCGAGAAUCCCAUCAACAUCCCAGAGGAACACAGGAUUUCAAGGUUCCAGGGAAGGAGUACUUGCUUCUGGCUGGAGACAUUAAGGAAGAAUUUCCUGUGAAACUUGCAUUUGAGUUGCGUCCUGGAGGAUGAGUAUGAUUUAGACAAAUGGUGAUGGGAAAGGAAGAAGAACUCAGGCAAAGGAAGGGCCUUGCGCAAAGGCAGCAUGUGGAUAGCAUGCUGACUUGCCCUCUAGCCCAGCUCUUUCACGGCCCCAAGAAGACUAUGGCAUUUUCAACUGUCACAUGGUGGCAGGCACCUAGAAGAUGUUAAAGAAAUUCCUGCUGACAUGAGUUCUCCGCUUUCCGGCUGCCUCUUCAGGGCUGCUGAGAACACUGUGCUCAGAAGGCUUCCCCCACUGCAAUUCAGCUCAACAAGAAGGAAGGCUGUGAUCAUUCAGCAAUGUCUGCCGUGGCAGAGGUAUAGGAAGUGAAACCCAUGACCAAGCUCGCCAUCAUCGACUUGAAAUAAUGGGAGUGAGGUAGAUUUCUGUCCGAAACGUUGAAACAUCUACAAAGCUCUGUUGCAUUAUUAUUUUCAACUACUGUUUUCCACUGCAGAUAGUACAUAAGUCAUAAAUAUGAAUACCCAAGUUAGAGCACUUAUUUCAAGGUUUCUAAUUAGUGGGCUCUCAUUCUGUGUUUCCUUAUCAUAAGAGUUCCUUCGACAGGUUUGCCAGUGAGAGAAACAGGUCUAUAU
rnacentral:lncRNA from 1 species